AGCAUCAGUAUCACUCUGGAGGCAGUCUGAUGUCAAAGCAUGGUCUGCAGCGCAAAUACGAUAGCUAGCUAGGUACACAACGAACUGCUAACAUUUAACAGAGCUGGCUGGCUGAUAUACACAUCUGUAGCAUGUUGUAUAGCUCUAGCUAGCUAUAUGAAGAAAACAUUAACAUUAGUGCGGACUAACGUAUCUUAGCUAAGCCUCAAUCAUCCUGCAGUGAAAAUAGUUAUUGCGAGCUAACAGGUUAGCUAGCUAGCUAGCUAACUUGUUAAUGCUAUUGAGACACUACACUGAUGCCAGAAGUGGGAUGUCACAUCUGAGCUUGAGUCAAUCAAGAAGCGUACCUAUGAUCUCUAAGAAUGUACACUUGUUUCUGAAGCCUGAACUUCCAUGCCAGAAUGAAGAGCACUAUCCAAGGUCUUAAGAGCCAAAGUCUC